UGUGAUCCUGCAAGAACGGAUGUGUGUGAGUGAAUGUGAGUGUGUGAAUGCUCUGUGUGUGUGUUGAUACGGAGAGGAUAACUGAAGAUUUUAGGAGCAAUUUUCAAAUCAAGAUCUUCCCACCAUGUCUAGUGUAGUGAUUUUUUUCAGUUUGUAAUACAAUUUUACACAUUCGUUGGUCAUAUAUUGUUUAAAAGACACAAUAUUAACAGCUGUUAGGGAAAAGACUCCUGUCUUUGAAAAGUAAAAAAAAUCUAGGGGAGAGAGGUUGAAAAAGAAAGAGGAAGAGCUAAGUAACUAGAAAUAUAAGGAAAUGUGAAAGUGACCUAGAGCCUACUUUAGCUUGGGUAAUCAGACACAGCCUCUCUGAGAAAGUUGCUGUUUAAGCUAAGCCCUGAUUAUCAGAGUUAUCCAACCAGGAUGCUGACCUGAAGGUUAUAUGUCACUAUGGAUAUUAGUAUUAUAGAAUUUUGGAGAAGAUAAGAGUCUAAUUUGGUUGUGGGCUCCAGAAAGUUUUCAGAUAAGGUUAAAAUGAAUGGCUGAACAUUUCCGAAGCAGAGGUUAUCCUAAGGAAAAUGGAGUUUGCGACCCAGAUAGUUUAUCAUCUAAGGGACACUACUCAAGUUAUUCUUCAAGAACAGGAAAGCUCAUCUAAAGGUAGUUUGCUUUUUACACUUACAUGGCGAGAAGAGACCAUUAGAUCAUUUUUUGUCAGAGUAAAGAAGAGUAGCCUUACUUUUAAAACCUAUUCAUUUGAAAUUUGUGUAAAUGUCUGUGUGGCUAUUGGAUUAAUGUCUGUACUGAAACAGCUGUAAACUCCACUCAGUGUAACUGCCUUGUCUCUUGGGUCCUCUACUGUGUCUCCAGUGCCUACCACAGAUGCUGACGUAGAAAUGGGCCAGUCAAUGUUUGUGGAAUUAGCAAGUGAAUAAAUCUACUCCAAGAUGAUAUUUGCCCCUUGCUGUGUUGUCACGAAUGUCAGUUUUAAAAAAUCAGUGCAUAAAAGAAUGAUGAGAGAAUUUUGGUAAAGAAGUAGAAUAGACCUCUCAGGAGAUUCUGUACUGUCUUGAUACACAUAAACCAGAUUCUUCAUAGUAGUAGUAGUGGUAGUAGCAGUGUGUUUUUCUAUGGCAUAAUUUAGUGGAUUUGGCUUCCUAGCUUUUGUUCAGUUCUAUGGAGUUUACCAUGAUGAAACAGCUCUGUUUAAUGACUGGUAAAAUUUCAGGGAUCAAGUUGUUACAUUCCUUAGAUUAGACCCAGGAGCCACUCAUAGCUGGAUAGGAAGAUAUAACUACACAUUACUAAGUUAGAGCAUAGGAAUGACUACAACUUCCCAAUAGUCGCAUCUAAAGUGGAGUCGAAAUGAUUGUGACAAGAAGUUACUAAUCAUUUUUAUAAGGUUUGUCCUCAAACAUUUGGGAAUACAUCUAAACAUCCCUAAUUUGACUUCAUGAGCAGCAAUAGGCUUCUAAACCUAGGUGUUGGAAUAUCUAGGAGGAGAGCCAUUCGUAUGCUAUGGAAUUUUUCAUUUGGGGGAUUGUAAUAAGCAAAGAUCCCAAGAACUCUAUCUUGCCUCAGUGAGUUGUUGACAGCAAACGUGGUUAUAUUUAAAUGCUUUAACGUAUAUAAUGUGCUACAUGAAUAAACAAAAAUUAAUUUAUCUAGACAGUUCUUGAAUAUAUAUAUAUUUUUAAGCUAUACAUUAUACUCUGGAGGGCAAGGGUAAUUUAUCUGAUCUGUUGCCUUUCCUUUUGCCUGAGGGCAUCUAAGGAUUUGACCCUCGAUUUAAUUCUCCUUAAAACACAAACACAGGGAAUAUGUGUAUGCAAGAUGCAAGAUAAAUAAGAGCCCUGCUAAGGUUGGUAUAUAAAGAAUUACACACUUAUACUUGGUGACUCUUGACUGUUUAUUGACUAACCUGCCAUUAAUUAGUAAUCCAUUGCAUUGAAGAUGAAAUUAGUUCUAUAUCUCUGAGAGGAUUAUCAGUCCAGUGAGAUAGAACAGCUGGUGAGACCCUAAAGCUGAUGGCUUCCAUGAGCCAAGUUGGUCCAUAUCCAUUACACCUCAUCCCCUGUAAUCAUGUACAUCCCAACUUGGAGAAACUGGGGCACUGGCCCUCUGUUGUUGGGAGUCCUAAGCCUCUGCUUUGUGUCUCCUGUGCAUACCAGAUUGUCUAGCCUGUGUGUUUUCUUAGAAGCUGUGCAAAGACCAUUCGCUGAGUGAAGCCUAUUAUGUCUCAUGAGUUUAAUGGGCAAUUCAAGCCCAAGACCACUGUUGUUGGUCAAGCAAAGUGAGUAUGGUCCUCUGAAAAGAUCUAAAAUAUGUUU